rnacentral:rRNA from 1 species
CGGUGAAGGAGGAGCUUGCUCCUCCGGAUCAGUGGCGAACGGGUGAGUAACACGUGAGCAAUCUGCCCCUGACUCUGGGAUAACCUCGGGAAACCGAAGCUAAUACUGGAUAUGAAGCGCGAAGGCAUCUUCAGCGCUUGGAAAGAAUUUCGGUCAGGGAUGAGCUCGCGGCCUAUCAGCUUGUUGGUGAGGUAACGGCUCACCAAGGCGACGACGGGUAGCCGGCCUGAGAGGGUGACCGGCCACACUGGGACUGAGACACGGCCCAGACUCCUACGGGAGGCAGCAGUGGGGAAUAUUGCACAAUGGGCGCAAGCCUGAUGCAGCAACGCCGCGUGAGGGAUGACGGCCUUCGGGUUGUAAACCUCUUUUAGCAGGGAAGAAGCGAAAGUGACGGUACCUGCAGAAAAAGCACCGGCUAACUACGUGCCAGCAGCCGCGGUAAUACGUAGGGUGCAAGCGUUGUCCGGAAUUAUUGGGCGUAAAGAGCUCGUAGGCGGUUUGUCGCGUCUGCUGUGAAAACCCGAGGCUCAACCUCGGGCCUGCAGUGGGUACGGGCAAACUAGAGUGCGGUAGGGGAGAUUGGAAUUCCUGGUGUAGCGGUGGAAUGCGCAGAUAUCAGGAGGAACACCGAUGGCGAAGGCAGAUCUCUGGGCCGUAACUGACGCUGAGGAGCGAAAGCGUGGGGAGCGAACAGGAUUAGAUACCCUGGUAGUCCACGCCGUAAACGUUGGGAACUAGAUGUGGGGA